UGUGCAGUUAACUUAAGUCACAGACUAAGGGUGAAACUGAAGGAGUCAUCUUAUGUACUUCCAGCUUCUGGGGCAUCAAUUUUUAAAUGCCUAAAUGCUGAAGGAACCUAGGAAGAGAAAAAGGUAUGUAAGCUUUUGGCUUGCCUGGGCUGCAAUGAGUGAAAAGGAAUUGUUUUGAACUGCAGUAGGUUGCUUCAAAGGUGUGAAUGGCCACUUGCCAGCUGCUGAGAGGAAACAUGUGCUCCUCUUGCUGAUGUGAAGCUUGAGGACUUCAAAAGGAAGAUCACUCCUAACAUGGAGGUAACCAGUGUCUCACAUCUGGCCAUCCACUAUCAUACCUCAGAUAUGGCAGCCCUCCCUGCUUGUUCUGAACAGAGACUUCCAUUUCUGUUAGUAGAAAACUUUCCACAACGUCAGUUGUGUGAUAACAUCAUUAUCUUUCACCAACAAUAAAAGGUUUGAUGAAGCUGUUAUAAUUUAUAAGAAAUCUGCUGGUUAUUCCUCCACAUCUAAUUUAUUAUUAAUAUAUGAGGAAAUGAGUAACUACGUAUCUUGUCAAACCUGACUUUGUAAAAAAUAAAAAUAAAUUACUUAAAACUUAGCAAAGAAUUUUAGACUUUAUUUAAUAUUGUAAAAAAUAAUAAUAAUAAUAACAGAAGGAAGCAAAUCACAUGAUUUAGUUAGGCCCUUCCUGAUGACAUUCUGCUUUACUUUCC
rnacentral:lncRNA from 1 species